rnacentral:misc_RNA from 1 species
AGCAGCCGCGGUAAUUCCAGCUCCAAUAGCGUAUAUUAAAGUUGUUGCAGUUAAAAGCUCGUAGUUGAACUUCGGGGUUUACUCAUUGGUCAGGCUUAAUUGUCUGUACUGGUGAGAUGAAUCUCUACCUUCUGAGGAACUUUCAUGCCAUUUAUUUGGUGUGGUUGGAAAUCAGGACUGUUACUUUGAAAAAUUGAGUGUUUAAAGCAGGCUAACGUCUGAAUACAUUAGCAUGGAAUAAUGAAAUAGGACGGAUUGAUUCUAUUUCGUUGGUUUCUAGGGUCACCGUAAUGAUUAAUAGGGAUAGUUGGGGGCAUUAGUAUUCAAUUGUCAGAGGUGAAAUUCUUGGAUUUAUUGAAGACUAACUACUGCGAAAGCAUUUGCCAAGGAUGUUUUCAUUAAUCAAGAACGAAAGUUAGGGAUCGAAGACGAUCAGAUACCGUCGUAGUCUUAACCAUAAACUAUAGCCGACUAGGGAUCGGACGCAGUUUAAUUUUAUAUG